rnacentral:rRNA from 1 species
CAGCCCAUUAAGUUAUGUGUGUUUUAGUGGAACGCUCUGGGAAGUGCGAACGUAGAGGGUGAUAUUCCCGUACACGAAAGGGCACACAUAAUGAUGACGAGUAGGGCGAGGCACGUGAAACCUUGUCUGAAUAUGGGGGGACCAUCCUCCAAGGCUAAAUACUCCUGACUGACCGAUAGUGAACCAGUACCGUGAGGGAAAGGCGAAAAGAACCCCUGUGAGGGGAGUGAAAUAGAUCCUGAAACCGCAUGCAUACAAGCAGUGGGAGCACCUUCGUGGUGUGACUGCGUACCUUUUGUAUAAUGGGUCAGCGACUUAUAUUCAGUAGCGAGGUUAACCGUAUAGGGGAGCCGUAGAGAAAUCGAGUCUUAAUAGGGCGUUUAGUUGCUGGGUAUAGACCCGAAACCAGGCGAUCUAUCCAUGAGCAGGUUGAAGGUUGGGUAACACUAACUGGAGGACCGAACCCACUGUCGUUGAAAAGCCAGGGGAUGACUUGUGGAUAGGGGUGAAAGGCUAAUCAAGCCUGGUGAUAGCUGGUUCUCCCCGAAAGCUAUUUAGGUAGCGCCUCGGACGAAUACCAUAGGGGGUAGAGCACUGUUUCGGCUAGGGGGUCAUCCCGACUUACCAAACCGAUGCAAACUCCGAAUACCUAUGAGUACUAUCCGGGAGACAGACUGCGGGUGCUAACGUCCGUAGUCAAGAGGAAAACAAUCCAGACCGCCAGCUAAGGCCCCAAAAUCAUAGUUAAGUGGGAAACGAUGUGGGAAGGCAUAGACAGCUAGGAGGUUGGCUUAGAAGCAGCCACCCUUUAAAGAAAGCGUAAUAGCUCACUAGUCGAGUCGGCCUGCGCGGAAGAUGUAACGGGGCUAAAACUAUGUGCCGAAGCUGCGGAUGUAUACUUUGUAUACGUGGUAGGGGAGCGUUCUGUAAGCCGAUGAAGGUGUGUUGAGAAGCAUGCUGGAGGUAUCAGAAGUGCGAAUGCUGACGUGAGUAACGACAAAACGGGUGAAAAACCCGUUCGCCGAAAGACCAAGGGUUCCAGUCCAACGUUAAUCGGGGCUGGGUGAGUCGACCCCUAAGGCGAGGCCGAAAGGCGUAGUCGAUGGGAAAAUGGUUAAUAUUCCAUUACUUCUGUGUAAUGCGAUGAGAGGACGGAGAAGGCUAAAUCAGCCUGGCGUUGGUUGUCCAGGUGAAAGGAUGUAGGCAUGUAUCUUAGGCAAAUCCGGGGUACUCUAUGCUGAGAUCUGAUAGCAAGCUGUACUUGUACAGCGAAGUGGUUGAUGCCAUGCUUCCAGGAAAAGUCUCUAAGCUUCAGUUACACAGGAAUCGUACCCGAAACCGACACAGGUGGUCAGGUCGAGUAGACCAAGGCGCUUGAGAGAACUCUGCUGAAGGAACUAGGCAAAAUGGUACCGUAACUUCGGGAGAAGGUACGCUGUUGUUGGUGAUGGAACUCGCUUCCUGAGCUGACGACAGCCGCAGAAACCAGGCCGCUGCAACUGUUUAUUAAAAACAUAGCACUCUGCAAACACGAAAGUGGACGUAUAGGGUGUGAUGCCUGCCCGGUGCUGGAAGGUUAAUUGAUGGGGUUAGCGUAAGCGAAGCUCUUGAUCGAAGCCCCAGUAAACGGCGGCCGUAACUAUAACGGUCCUAAGGUAGCGAAAUUCCUUGUCGGGUAAGUUCCGACCUGCACGAAUGGCAUAAUGAUGGCGGCGCUGUCUCCAGCAGAGGCUCAGUGAAAUCGAAAUCGCUGUGAAGAUGCAGUGUACCCGCGGCUAGACGGAAAGACCCCGUGAACCUUUACUGCAGCUUGACACUGAACUUUGACCUUACUUGUGUAGGAUAGGUGGGAGGCUUUGAAGCUGGAACGCUAGUUCCAGUGGAGCCGUCCUUGAAAUACCACCCUGGUAAUGUUGAGGUUCUAACUCUGUCCCGUGAUCCGGGACGAGGACCGUGUCUGGUGGGUAGUUUGACUGGGGCGGUCUCCUCCUAAAGAGUAACGGAGGAGUACGAAGGUGCGCUCAGCGUGGUCGGAAAUCACGCGUAGAGUAUAAAGGCAAAAGCGCGCUUAACUGCGAGACCCACAAGUCGAGCAGGUACGAAAGUAGGUCUUAGUGAUCCGGUGGUUCUGUAUGGAAGGGCCAUCGCUCAACGGAUAAAAGGUACUCUGGGGAUAACAGGCUGAUACCGCCCAAGAGUUCAUAUCGACGGCGGUGUUUGGCACCUCGAUGUCGGCUCAUCUCAUCCUGGGGCUGAAGCAGGUCCCAAGGGUAUGGCUGUUCGCCAUUUAAAGAGGUACGCGAGCUGGGUUUAGAACGUCGUGAGACAGUUCGGUCCCUAUCUACCGUGGGCGCUGGAAAUUUGAGAGGAUCUGCUCCUAGUACGAGAGGACCAGAGUGGACGAACCUCUGGUGUACCGGUUGUGACGCCAGUCGCAUCGCCGGGUAGCUAUGUUCGGAAGGGAUAACCGCUGAAAGCAUCUAAGCGGGAAGCCUACCUCAAGAUAAGAUUUCCCUAGGACUUUAUGUCCUCUAAAGAGCCGUUCGAGACUAGGACGUUGAUAGGUUGGAUGUGGAAGCAUAGUGAUAUGUAAGCUGACCAAUACUAAUUGCUCGUGAGGCUUGACUAU